AAGUGUGACGUCACAAACUCCGCCCACACACACGUUUCUUCCUGGUGGUUUUACGAAGGAAAAGAGAACCUUCAGCAUGCAGGAGGAUGAAGAGACACACAUCAGGAGGAGGAGGAAGAUGAUGAACUGAAGAAAGAGAAGCAGAUCAACAUGAGCAGCAUAAUAACAUGAAGAUCAGCAACAUCAGAAAUGAACAGAGAUGAUGAUCAGCUGAUGAAGACUGAAGAUCAACAUGAGCAGCAGAGAGAGCAGAGCCGUUGAACACAGUCCUGCUCUCAAAAGAAGUCGAAGCAAAGAACUAGAGCCUCCUGACUUGAGCACUGAUUCUCCUCUGAGGAUUCUUCUCCUGGGUAAAAGCGUGUCUGAGAACAGCCGUGUGGGAAACUUGAUCUUGGGCAGAUCAGCGUUUGACAGUGAAGCUCCUCCAGAUGUUGUGGAGAGAGUCGGAGGAAGACUGAAGCACAGACACGUGACGCUCAUCAACAGUCCUCAACUGCUCCACACACACAUCUCAGAUGAUCAGAUCACACAGACGGUCAGAGAGUGCGUGAGUCUGUCUGAUCCAGGACCUCAUGUGGUGCUUCUGCUCCUCCAACAUCAGCAGUGUUCAGCAGAAGAUCAAGAGCGUGUGGAGAAGCUGCAGGACUCUUUCUCUGAGCGCCUUCUUCAACACACCCUGGUGCUCAGCACACAAGAGCCCACUGAACCCAAUCAGAUCCUGCAGAAGAUCAUCCAGAAGUGCUCCAACAGACACUUCAGUCUUCAGACAAGCAGCUCUGCUGAUCAUCUUCUGCAGGCCUUUGAGGACAUCGAGCGGAGCAAUGAGGGACGACACCUGAUUACACCAGCUCCAUCUGGAGACUCACUGAGAGAACAGUUUAAUGAGAGACUGAGAGAAGAGAGGGAGAGGAUGGAGAGAGAGAAAGAAGAUCUUCAGUCUAAACAUGAAGCGGAACAAAACAAGAUGAAGAUCCAGAUAGAGGAACUGAAUAGAGAAAGAGAAGAACUGAUGAAGAAGCUCACGCAAGAGAAAGAGAGAACAAAGAAGUUGACGAUGGAGAAACAACAAAACCAGGAGAAAGAGAGAAUGAAGAUGAUGGAGGAACAACAGAUUCAGGAGAAAGAGACCAUGAAGAUGAUUAUGGAAGCACAUCAGAAUCAGCAUAAAGGGAGAAUAAAGAUGAUGGAGGAACAACACAUUCAGGAGAAAGAGCGCAUGAAGCUGAUGAUGGAAGCACAACAGAAUCAGUUUAAAGGGAGAAUGAAGAUGAUGAUGGAGGAGGAGGAACAACAGAAUCAGAAGAAAAAGAGAAUGAAGAUGAUGGAGGAACAACACAUUCAGGACAAAGAGACCAUGAAGAUGAUGGAAGCACAUAAUCUGUUUAAAGAGAGAAUAAAGAUGAUUAAGGAGGAGGAACGACAGAAUCAGAAGAAAAAGAGAAUGAAGAUGAUGGAGGAACAACAGAUUCAGGAGAAAGAGACCAUGAAGAUGGAGAAACGACAGAAUCCGGUGAAAGUGAGAAUGAGAAGAGAAGAAGAGUUCAUACAGAGAAAAGAGGGAAACGAAAUGCUUGAAAUAAUGAAAUUGGAGGGAAUUAAGAAACCGAAACCAGAGGAAAGACUGAAAAGAAGAGAAGAAAAACAGUUAUCUGAACUUUACAGGAGACACGAAAGUCCAGUUACUGGAUUCACACCAGUUUGUAUGUUAUCCUCGCUGGGAGAAAGAGGUGCUGGGAAAAGUUCAUCAGAAGAAACAUUCUUGCGUGGACCAGCAUUUGCCUCAAAGAAAAGCUCUACAUUCUCACAAGAUGCCGCUGUGGAGGCUGGAGAUUGGUUUCCAGUCCCUGUUUUUAACACACCAGGAUUAUCUGGUUCAUAUAUGACAGGAGGGGGUCAGCAGAUGAGGAAUGAAAGCUUUUCACGUCUUCAAACAAUGGCAAGUAAAGCAGAGCGAAAAAAGCCAGAACACACUCUAGUGUCCAGUCUCUCCUCCAGACGGAUUGUUCUUCUGGGUAAAUCUGGUGUUGGUAAAAGUACAGUUGGAAACACAAUCCUGGGACAGAAAAAGUUCUCAUGUCAGAUAAGGAGCCAUUCAGUAACGCGUGUUUGUUCAGCAGCUCAGGCCACAGUUUCAGGCAGAUCUGUGUCUGUAGUCGACACUCCGGGAUUCUUUCACACACAUAUGAACAACAAUGAGUUAAUGAUGGAGAUCCGCAGAAGUGUGUAUAUCUCCAGUCCUGGACCUCACGCUUUCCUCAUUGUGCUGCGUGCAAAUGACAGAUUCACUGAACUGGAGCAACAGACUCUUCAGAAGAUUGAGCUGAUGUUUGGUAAGGAUGUGUUGAAUUACUGCAUCAUUCUCUUCACUCAUGGAGAUCUGCUGGAUGGAGAAGUGUCCAUAGAGAAGCUGAUAGAGGAGAACAGUAGAUUAAGAUCUGUAGUCCAGCAGUGUGGAGGCAGAUAUCAUGUGUUCAACAACAGAGAUGAGGAGAACAGAGAGCAGGUGGAGGAUCUACUGCAGAAGAUUGACUCAAUGAUACAGCAGAAUGGAGGAGGACACUACACUAACCAGAUGUAUGAAGACGCUCAGAGAUUCAGACAAGAGCAGGAAGAGAAAAAGCUAGAGAGCAACUUGAAAGAUUGGCACAGGAGGGAGUGGACAAAAUGAAAAAAAAAAAAAAACAAACGAACAAAAACAAUAAACAGUUUUCACACAUUUCUUAAUCUCUCAAAUGAGUAACUGGAAAUGUUGCUCGGUUCUCACACUGUUCAUGGCAUUCCCAUCCUGUUGUAUUUAUAAAAAAACGACUAUCUUCACAAUUUUUAAAUCUAUGUUGCAUAAAUGUACGUACAUGUAUGACAGUUCUUACAUCAUUGAAAUCUAAACAUGAACUUGUAUUUUAAACUUGUGAUCUGCUUAUAUUGCUGUAUCUGAGAUGCAUGUGGGAUCAGGAUCAGCUGCUGCUUUCACCUUUUUUCUCGACGAGGCUGACUCUAGCUCUUUAAAUAUCAGCUUCAUAUUUGAUAAACUAUCCAUUCCACAUUAAAAUGUUAUUUGAUUGUAACUCCUCACUGCUCAGUUUUAUUGGCUGUUUUUCUUAAAGGAACCACUGGACUAAUUCCUACAGCUUGUGUCAUAACUGUUUUAUUUCUUAAUAGACAAGGUCAGUCAGUUGGCGAUUCUGUGUGGAGUUUGCAUGUUCUCCCUACGUUCGCGUCAGGCACGUGCACACAUAGGGCUAAACCUGUGCAGUGCACAUGCCCUUUUUAGUCUUGGAUAGAAAGUGCCCUUACAAAAUGAUCAAAAGUGCCCCCGCGACAUUCCAUUUUUUACAACACAACAAUUCCCAAAGUGCUGAACACAAUCAAUACUAAAUAAAGUAAAACCUACAUCACAUACAUAACAAUUAAAACAUAAGGCAAACCCCUCAACAUUAAAAAGGCUCAAAUGCUAAAGAACAAGGAUGCAGUUUCAGAAGCUUUUUAAAAAUCUGGAUUUGCUUGUUUGUUAAAUUUCAG
ensembl:processed_transcript